CCAGACUCCUACGGGAGGCAGCAGUGGGGAAUAUUGCACAAUGGGGGAAACCCUGAUGCAGCAACGCCGCGUGGGUGAAGGAGCGUUUCGGCGCGUAAAGCCCUGUCAGCGGGGAAGAAGAAAGACGGUACCCGACCAAGAAGCCCCGGCUAACUACGUGCCAGCAGCCGCGGUAAUACGUAGGGGGCAAGCGUUAUCCGGAAUUACUGGGUGUAAAGGGAGCGUAGACGGUUAAGUAAGUCUGGAGUGAAAGGCCGGGGCCCAACCCCGGGACUGCUCUGGAAACUAUUGAACUUGAGUGCAGGAGAGGUAAGCGGAAUUCCUAGUGUAGCGGUGAAAUGCGUAGAUAUUGGGAGGAACACCAGUGGCGAAGGCGGCCUGCUGGACAUUAACUGACGCUGAGGCGCGAAAGCGUGGGGAGCAAACAGGAUUAGAUACCCCUGUACG
rnacentral:rRNA from 1 species